GGUGUCAUGGGACCUCUUCCCUUCCGCUCCGGCGCCGUCGUCGCCGACAACCGACCCGCGCUCCUCGUCCGGAUCUCCCUUUACCCUUCCCCGUAGGUUCCGUCCUGCCUCGUCCCCUCCUACCCGUCUCUCCUCCGCCAUUGCCAGCCCCGGUCAUGUAGGCGGGCAUGCGCAGGAAUCCUGGGCCAGCAGUCUGGGGGGGCCAUCCCGAACACCAGCAGCCAAGCCCAGAAUGGCUUCCUCGUCGCCUCCGCCAGCCCAGAAUGUAAGGCUAAGGUUUGAUUGCUACCGUGAGAUCGCGAGAGGGUUUCCCACGAUCGUCAAUACCACCAGCCACCGGCGCCGGCAACCGAGACGGCGCCCACAUGGUUGCUCGCAGCACGCUCUGAUGAGAGAGAAUGCGCUUGCCUUAACUGCGCCCAAGCAUCAUCAUCAGCGGUGUUGCCGUGUUGAUACACUCCAUGCGGCAAAGGGAUCAGCGGUGGAUGGGAGUAUGGAACUAUGGGUGAUCGCCUAUCUAUGCUUCUUAAAGUGCCCUUUCGAAUGGGUUUGAAGGGCAUGAUUGCUUGAGUGUCAAAAUGUGCCCUGCUAAAUAUGGGCAUAUCAAUAAAUUUUGGCAUUCAUUCAGUUAA